rnacentral:lncRNA from 10 species
UGGAGUGCAGUGUUGUGAUCCCGGUUCACUGCAGCCUCUACCUCCUGUGUUCAAGCAAUCCUCCCACCUCAGCCUCCUGAGUAGCUGAGACCACAGAAACUCCUGGAGGGCAGAGCCAUGCCUGCCAUUUUCAUCAUUGCAUUACCACCACCCAGCACAGUGCCUGGUACAAAAGAGUUGCUCAAUAAAUAAAUCAGGAUGAAUGGACAAAUACACGGAUAGGCACUUUGAACUACAGAUGAGCUUAAAUACUUUGUGUUUUUCUUAGUCAAACAUGUGCAAUUAAGCA